rnacentral:rRNA from 1 species
AGACGCUGGCGGCGUGGAUUAGGCAUGCAAGUCGAACGGUAUCAUCUUCGGGGGUGAGAGAGUGGCGAACUGGUGAGUAACACGUAGGUUAUCUACCCUCAAGACGGGGACGAACCCAGGGAAACUUGGGCGUAAUACCGGAUGUGAGCAACUUUAGUUGUUUGAAAGGUGGCGUAAGCUGUCGCUUGGGGGAUGAGCCUGCGUCCUAUUAGUUAGUUGGUGAGGUAACGGCUCACCUAGGCAAUGAUAGGUAGGCGGCCUUAACGGGUGGUCGCCCACACUGGGAUUGAGAUACGGCCCAGACUCCUACGGGAGGCAGCAGUCGAGAAUAGUCUACAAUGGUCGGAAGACUGAUAGUGCGACGCCGCGUGAACGAUGAAUCCCUUCGGGGUGUAAAGUUCUUUUAUAUGUGAGCAGUGCUUCUUAUAUUAACAGUAUGGGGAGAGAGAUAUUAGCAUAUGAAUAAGCAACGGCUAACUCCGUG